rnacentral:tRNA from 1 species
GAGCUGUUAGCAUAGCUGGCUAAUGCACUUCCCUUUUAAGGAAGAAACCGACAGUUCGAAUCUGUCACAGCUCA